AACGCGAAGAACCUUACCAGGUCUUGACAUCCCUCUGAAUACGUUAGAGAUAGCGUAGGCCUUCGGGACAGAGGAGACAGGUGGUGCAUGGUUGUCGUCAGCUCGUGUCGUGAGAUGUUGGGUUAAGUCCCGCAACGAGCGCAACCCUUGAAUUCAGUUGCCAGCAGGUAAGGCUGGGCACUCUGAAUUGACUGCCGGUGACAAACCGGAGGAAGGUGGGGAUGACGUCAAAUCAUCAUGCCCCUUAUGACCUGGGCUACACACGUACUACAAUGGUCGGUACAACGGGAAGCGAAGCCGCGAGGUGGAGCCAAUCCUAGAAAAGCCGGUCUCAGUUCGGAUUGCAGGCUGCAACUCGCCUGCAUGAAGUCGGAAUUGCUAGUAAUCGCGGAUCAGCAUGCCGCGGUGAAUACGUUCCCGGGCCUUG
rnacentral:rRNA from 1 species